AUGAACUGGGGGGGUUAUCAUCAAUUAUUCCACGACAACCUCCUUCGAGCCCUACCUCGAGCGGGUGGCUCCAUUCUCAGGUCCAACCUCGAGCGGGUGGUCAAGCCCAAUGUCGCCUUCCUGCGCGAGUGCGGGCUAGGUGCUUGUGAUAUUGCCAGGCUCUGCAUUCCCACGCCAUCGCUGCUCAGCAUCAGCACGGAACGCAUCCGGACAGCAGUGGCGCGUGUCGAAGGUCUUCUUGGUGUACCCCGUGGAUCUCCGAUGUUCAGACAUGCACUACAAGCUGUUGCAUUCCUCAACGAGGAGAAAAUCACCGCCAAAGUGGAGCACUUGAAGAAAGCGUUCAGGUGGUCGGAUGUCGAGGUGGGCAUUGCCGUUUCUAAGGCUCCAACCUUGAUGACAAGGACUAAGGAAUCGCUGCAGCGCAGGUCUGAGUUCCUCAUCUCUGAGGUGGGCCUAGAGCCAACAUACAUAGCACAUCGGCCGGUAAUGCUCACUUAUAGCCUGGAGGGCCGGCUGAGGCCCCGGUACUAUGCUGUAAAGUUUCUCAAGGAAAAUGGAUUGCUCAAGCGCGGCCCGAGCUACUUUACUGUUUUUAACGAGACCGACAAUGUAUUCAGGGAGAAGUACAUAUGCCCUCACAAGGAAGCUGCACCACACCUCCAAAAGGACUAUGAUGCCGCUUGCAAAGGGGAAGUGCCAACUAAUUUCAGAUUCACAUGA
rnacentral:rRNA from 1 species